AGUUUGUGUUUGGAAUUGGAUCCAGUUGUACCGAUUUACUCCACUGUUUGCUACAAGAUUCAGCAGCUGUUCCGUGUGGGGGCCCCUGUUCCUGCUGUUCCCAGGCACCCGCUGGCAGGACAAAGCACCUUUCCCCAGGUGUGGAGAGCCAUGCCUGUAAGGCCUGUGCUGGGUGGGGCUGCUGUUGGAUGAGGUUGGGGGGUCCCUCAGGAGGAUAGAAGAAUUGUCCAGAGUUGGAGGCCAGGGAGACAGUCAGGGAAGGGAAGAGACCAGGGGCAGGCUACAGAAUAAAAAUGUAAAUGUUACUCAAUUCUGAAAGAGUAGGUCAGAACAACCCCUUUUAAAAAAACCUACUUUUAUAACCAGAUCAUCUAAGGGGGAACAGAAAUCCGAUGCUUUGCCUCUAAGGCUCACAAAGUAACCUGUAAAGAUACUGGCCAUUCAACUGUUUUAACUCAGUCUGUGCCAUCUAUAGAAUUCCUUUAAAGCCAAAUAGGCUGUGCUAUAGCGCUCUAUAAUACAGUUUUAAAUAAAUCAUUACUGCCAGGUCGCUGGGUGGGGGAGGGGUGUGCCUGCUUCCUUUUCCUUCUUACUGCUCCUUCCUCCUUGGCCCUUUGAUGUGUAUUCUUUAGGUACCGUUCCUCCAAUCUGCCCUUACACAAAUGUACCACAAAAUUCUCUUCAGCCUGGGAGUGUGGCAGGAAGAAGAGCUACUGGAUGCAUGGCUACAUUAGGGUAAGAAAAUCAGUUGAGUCAACACUAAGACCAGGGUGCCUUUCAGAAGGAAGAUCUUCAACUAAAUAUGAAUGAGGUUUCGAAUUUUUUUUGUAAUUAUAAUUGGGAGAAGAAAAUUUAUGAAAUGUAUGUCAUCAGCACAUUGAUUAUAAAUGUCUUUCUGUUGGAAAAAAAACCAUUGCAAUAAAGUUCAAGGGUAUAUCAGUAUGCAAA
rnacentral:lncRNA from 1 species